rnacentral:snRNA from 1 species
GGAUAGAGUAUAAUCUCAUU